GAUGAACGCUAGCGGCAGGCCUAACACAUGCAAGUCGAGGGGCAUCGGGAUUGAAGCUUGCUUCAAUUGCCGGCGACCGGCGCACGGGUGCGUAACGCGUAUGUAACCUACCUAUAACAGGGGCAUAGCCCGGCGAAAGUCGGAUUAAUACCCCAUAAAACAGGGGUCCCGCAUGGGGAAUAUUUGUUAAAGAUUCAUCGCUGAUAGAUAGGCAUGCGUUCCAUUAGGCAGUUGGCGGGGUAACGGCCCACCAAGACUACGAUGGAUAAGGGGGUUCUGAGAGGGAAGGUCCCCCACAUUGGAACUGAGACACGGUCCAAACUCCUACGGGAGGCAGCAGUGAGGAAUAUUGGUCAAUGGACGCGAGUCUGAACCAGCCAAGUAGCGUGAAGGAUGACUGCCCUAUGGUUGUAAACUUCUUUUAUAAUGGGAAUAAAAGUUGUCCACGUGUGGAUUUUUGUAUGUACCAUAUGAAUAAGGAUCGG
rnacentral:rRNA from 1 species